CCUACGGGAGGCAGCAGUGAGGAAUAUUGGUCAAUGGGCGGGAGCCUGAACCAGCCAAGCCGCGUGAGGGAAGAAGGUACAGCGUAUUGUAAACUUCUUUUGUCAGGGAACAAAGUCGGGGACUAGUCCCCGGAUGAGGGUACCUGAAGAAAAAGCAUCGGCUAACUCCGUGCCAGCAGCCGCGGUAAUACGGAGGAUGCGAGCGUUAUCCGGAUUUAUUGGGUUUAAGGGGUGCGCAGGCGGCCUGUUAAGUCAGCGGUAAAAGCCCGGGGCUCAACCCCGGCGAGCCGUUGAAACUGGCGGGCUGGAGUUGGGGAGAAGUACGCGGAAUGCGCGGUGUAGCGGUGAAAUGCUUAGAUAUCGCGCAGAACCCCGAUUGCGAAGGCAGCGUACCGGCUCCACACUGACGCUGAGGCACGAAAGCGUGGGUAUCGAACAGGAUUAGAUACCCUUGUAGUC
rnacentral:rRNA from 1 species